rnacentral:rRNA from 1 species
GAUGAACGCUAGCUACAGGCUUAACACAUGCAAGUCGAGGGGAAACGGCAUUGAGUGCUUGCACUCUUUGGACGUCGACCGGCGCACGGGUGAGUAACGCGUAUCCAACCUUCCCAUUACUGUGGGAUAACCUGCCGAAAGGCAGACUAAUACCGCAUGGUCUUCGAUGACGGCAUCAGAUUUGAAGUAAAGAUUUAUCGGUAAUGGAUGGGGAUGCGUCUGAUUAGCUAGUUGGUGAGGUAAUGGCUCACCAAGGCGACGAUCCGUAACUGGUCUGAGAGGAUGAUCAGUCACACUGGAACUGAGACACGGUCCAGACUCCUACGGGAGGCAGCAGUGGGGAAUAUUGGACAAUGGGCGAAAGCCUGAUCCAGCCAUGCCGCGUGUGUGAAGAAGGUCUUCGGAUUGUAAAGCACUUUAAGUUGGGAGGAAGGGUUGUAGAUUAAUACUCUGCAAUUUUGACGUUACCGACAGAAUAAGCACCGGCUAACUCUGUGCCAGCAGCCGCGGUAAUACAGAGGGUGCAAGCGUUAAUCGGAAUUACUGGGCGUUAAGCGCGCGUAUGUGGUUUUUUUAUUUUGGAUGUGAAAAUCCCCCGGGCCCGUCCUCGUAACAUGCAUUUUAUAUCUAAC